rnacentral:rRNA from 1 species
ACGGAAGGCAGCAGUGAGGAAUAUUGGUCAAUGGGCGGAAGCCUGAACCAGCCAAGUCGCGUGAGGGAAGAAGGUCCUAUGGAUUGUAAACCUCUUUAGUCGUGGAGUAAUAAUGGCCUCGUGAGGCCAGAUGCAAGUACACGAAGAAUAAGGAUCGGCUAACUCCGUGCCAGCAGCCGCGGUAAUACGGAGGAUCCGAGCGUUAUCCGGAUUUAUUGGGUUUAAAGGGUGCGCAGGCGGUCUCUUAAGUCAGUGGUUAAAUCGUGAGGCUCAACCUCAUCCCGCCAUUGAUACUGGGAGACUUGAUUGCGGUCGAGGCAGGCGGAAUUUGCCGUGUAGCGGUGAAAUGCAUAGAUAUGGCGAAGAACUCCGAUUGCGUAGGCAGCUUACCAGGCCGACAAUGACGCUCAUGCACGAAAGUGCGGGGAUCGAACAGGAUUAGAUACCCUGGUA